rnacentral:lncRNA from 1 species
GUGGAUUUAUAAAUAUACAGAUAACACCGUGAUUGGACAGUGUGAAAUAUGGACAAUUAUAUUCAGUGAAAUGACUGUUGGAAGUAUAUAGUUAUAACAAUUAGAAAUUUUAAAUGUUCGCCUCACAUCCCAUGUACAGUGUAAAAUUCGUUGGAAGUAGAUCAACCGACAGGACUUGGUAUUACCAGCAUGACCAAUGUAAAUAUUAGUAUAAGUAGUGUAGGAGUU